UACGAAGGGGGCGAGCGUUGUUCGGAUUUACUGGGCGUAAAGGGCGCGCAGGCGGCUCAUUUUGUCAGGCGUGAAAGCCCUGGGCUCAACCCAGGAACUGCGUCCGAUACUGGUUGGCUUGAAUCCGGGAGAGGGAUGCGGAAUUCCAGGUGUAGCGGUGAAAUGCGUAGAUAUCUGGAGGAACACCGGUGGCGAAGGCGGCAUCCUGGACCGGUAUUGACGCUGAGGCGCGAAAGCGUGGGGAGCAAACAGG
rnacentral:rRNA from 1 species